CCGCACAAACAAAAACAACACUACGCGUAAGGUCAGGUGAUUUUCCCAGAACGUACAAAACGACAGGACUGUCAACUUCCCUGUGAUGAAAGACAUUGUAUUGUCGGACCGCGUUAGAGUCACAAAAACAGUAGACGACAAAAUAAUGAGGGAUCAGAGGGCAUUUGCGCUGUACAACGAAACGCGUACCUAAUUGUAUAGACUCGUAUAUACUAAAAGGGUCAUUUAAACACGUAUCCGUACGGUUAUUAAAGUGUAAAGAGCUGUUUUCACUCCUUUUGUCGUUACAGGUGCUACAUCUGAAUCAAAAUCGGCGUCACUCUUUACUUUGCGAAUCGAUUAAGGACCCCUGUACUAUCUUUGUAAACCACUUGUACUCCAGAUGGACCAUAAGUAACUCUUAUACUUUUCACUUUCGAUUAUGACGUCACACUAACGGAUAGUUGACACGACACCAGGCUUUGAAGGACGGUUCAGUCUACGAAUAGCAACGAUUAUCAGAAGCCUGAGUUAAGAGCUGAUAUCGAUCGAUGGAAGUGACGUCACGUUCGACGACCAUGACGUCAUCUAAAGCUUACCGUACGAUUCUGACAAUAUGCAGUCUAUCCGACUUCCUCCGCCAACACCAAUCAAUACAACGGCAAGCAGACACGUACAGGAAGGAACGACAAAACAUAUCAAACGACAAGGAGCGCAUUAGGAAACAACAUCGUCAAAGAAUGCAUAGAAAACGACGUGCAAGCGUUCAAACAACACGACAACACUUCUUAUUGGCCAUGUUGAGCGAGAAAAACCAACACUAUUUUUUAUUUGAAAAAAGGCAUUCGUAUUUUUUU